UACAGAGGGGGCAAGCGUUGUUCGGAAUUACUGGGCGUAAAGCGUGCGCAGGCGGUUUUGUAAGCCAGGUGUGAAAUCCCCGGGCUUAACCUGGGAAUGGCAUUUGGGACUGCAAGGCUUGAGUGCGGCAGAGGAGACUGGAAUUCCUGGUGUAGCAGUGAAAUGCGUAGAUAUCAGGAGGAAUACCGAUGGCGAAGGCAGGUCUCUGGGCUGACACUGACGCUCAUGCACGAAAGCGUGGGGAGCAAACAGG
rnacentral:rRNA from 1 species